AGGGAAUCUUCCACAAUGGACGCAAGUCUGAUGGAGCAACGCCGCGUGAGUGAAGAAGGUUUUCGGACCGUAAAGCUCUGUUGUUGGUGAAGAAGGAUAGAGGUAGUAACUGGCCUUUAUUUGACGGUAAUCAACCAGAAAGUCACGGCUAACUACGUGCCAGCAGCCGCGGUAAUACGUAGGUGGCAAGCGUUGUCCGGAUUUAUUGGGCGUAAAGCGAGCGCAGGCGGAAGAAUAAGUCUGAUGUGAAAGCCCUCGGCUUAACCGAGGAAUUGCAUCGGAAACUGUUUUCUUGAGUGCAGAAGAGGAGAGUAGAACUCCAUGUGUAGCGGUGGAAUGCGUAGAUAUAUGGAAGAAUACCAGUGGCGAAGGCGGCUCUCUGGUCUGCAACUGACGCUGAGGCUCGAAAGCAUGGGUAGCGAACAAGAUUAGAUACCCUGGUAGUCCAUGCCGUAAACGAUGAGUGCUAAGUGUUGGGAGGCUUCCGCCUCUCAGUGCUGCAGCUAACGCAUUAAGCACUCCGCCUGGGGGAGUACGACCGCAAGGUUGAAAC
rnacentral:rRNA from 1 species